rnacentral:tRNA from 1 species
GGAGUUGUGGCUCAGUAGUGCAGCACUUGCCUAGAAUGUAUGAGGCACUGGGUUCAAUCCUCAGCAACACAU